UCUUUCCCUUCCCUACCCAAAUUCUCUGAACACAGUGAAAAGCACAUUAUUUCUUAAACGCCCCACCCCCACCCCAAUUUACCUUUCGGCCUCUGUUGAGUGAUCUUUUGGUGCUUUCAACGCAGUCCUCCCACCCAUGCCAGGGACAGCUCAACAUCUGGCACCCGUCUCUCCCCACCGCUAUUGACAGCCAUUGAUAUGACACAGGUGUGAAUUCUGUUAUUUGUGUAGUGAUAAAGAAGAGAAGGAGGUCGAAAGCGCAGAGACAGGAGGCAGCUGUCGGCCUUGCUGUUUUUUGUUUUUUUUAAGUUUUUUUUUUAAUACAAUCUCUCCAGGUGCUCAGCCAAGGUCACGGGCAAGCAGCAACACCACGUGAGCCUGGGCCACAUGCUGAUGCAACACUUUUGGUGCAGGCGCAGAGAGGAAUUAGUCUUAGAAACUUUUUAUGAUUCUGGCGUCAUCACAACACGCAGUCAGUCAAAGCCCUCUUCGAUUCACGUGCGUCGGACAUGAGUACAGCUGAAAGCUCCAGGGUGUCAGCUGCUAGUGAUGGUAACAAGGGAAACAGAGCCAACACGAGGACACUAAAAGGGCAAACCAGUUGAUACCCCUGCAGCCGUGCUGAGUUACAGAGAAGCUUGGCCGGCCACAAGUCCUCCACCCUGUCAUACGAGACGGGCGACAGAUGCCAUGGUCUCCAGCAAGUUGCAGAAAAAAGGCUGCCUAAGCAGCUAUACCAUGUGCCAACUUGAGCUUGAGAGAAAUGCCAAAGCUCUAUGCUGAGGCAGACACUACUGCUAUUUGCUGGCUUAAUGUAACAGUAAGC
ensembl:lncRNA